AUUGAACGCUGGCGGCGUGCCUAACACAUGCAAGUCGAGCGGUAACAGGUGUAGCAAUACAUGCUGACGAGCGGCGGACGGGUGAGUAACGCUUGGGAAUCUGCCUGUUAGUGGGGGACAACCCGGGGAAACUCGGGCUAAUACCGCAUACGCACUACGGUGGAAAGCCGGGGACCGCAAGGCCUGGCGCUAACAGAUGAGCCCAAGUCGGAUUAGCUAGUUGGUAGGUAACGGCCACCAAGGCGACGAUCCGUAACUGGUCUGAGAGGACGACCAGUCACACCGGAACUGAGACACGGUCCGGACUCCUACGGGAGGCAGCAGUGGGGAAUAUUGGACAAUGGGCGAAGGCCUGAUCCAGCGACGCCGCGUGGGUGAAGAAGGCCUGCGGGUUGUAAAGCCCUUUCGGUGGGGAAGAAAAGCCUCGAGCUAACAUCUCGGGGUCUUGACGUAACCCAUAGAAGAAGCACCGGCUAA
rnacentral:rRNA from 1 species